rnacentral:piRNA from 1 species
UGAGAUGUACAGUUCCUCCAGCAAGUGA